rnacentral:rRNA from 1 species
AUUGAACGCUGGCGGCAUGCCUUACACAUGCAAGUCGAGCGGCAGCGCGGGGGCAACCCUGGCGGCGAGCGGCGAACGGGUGAGUAAUGCAUCGGAACGUGUCCUCUUGUGGGGGAUAACCAGUCGAAAGACUGGCUAAUACCGCAUGAGCUCGAGAGAGGAAAGCAGGGGAUCCGCAAGGACCUUGCGCGAAAGGAGCGGCCGAUGCCCGAUUAGCUAGUUGGUGGGGUAAAAGCCUACCAAGGCGACGAUCGGUAGCUGGUCUGAGAGGACGACCAGCCACACUGGGACUGAGACACGGCCCAGACUCCUACGGGAGGCAGCAGUGGGGAAUUUUGGACAAUGGGGCAACCCUGAUCCAGCCAUGCCGCGUGUGUGAAGAAGGCCU